GGGAUAUUGGCUCAGUUGGUAGAGCGUUGGUCUCAUAUAGAGUAUGAUCUAAUUAAAAUUUAGAACAAUCCAAAGGUCGUGAGUUCGAGCCUCACAUGUCCCA